AUGAAAAGCAACAGGGCCCCGGGCCCGGAUAAUAUACCUGCUGAGUUUUACCAGCACUGCUGGGAUAUAGUGAAAGAGGGUAUUAUGAGAUUGUUUACUGCUUUUCAUGCAGGGGAGCUUGAUGUUAGUAGAUUGAAUUAUGGCAUUAUAACUCUACUGCCUAAGAUCAAUGGGGCUAAUAAGAUCCAACAAUUUAGGCCAAUUUGUUUGCUUAGAUCUCCCUACAAGCUGAUCACUAAGGCGCUUGAUAACAGAGUGGCCCCCCUUGCGGACAAACUAUUUAGUAGGCAUCAGAAUGCUUUUAUCAAACAUAGAAAUAUUAUGGAUGGAGUAUUAUCUUUGCAUGAGAUCUUGCAUCAUACUUCCAUCCAGAAAAAAGUGGGCAUUGUUAUUAAGCUCUAUUUCGAGAAAGCGUAUGACAAGGUAAACUGGGACUUCUUGUUGGAAUGUCUCAAGAUGAGAGGGUUUGGUACCACUUGGUGUAAGUGGGUUAAAAGUGUCUUGGUUGAUGACACAGUCAGUGUUAAGUUGAAUAACACUAUGGGGCCGUAUUUCAAAAGCUUUAAGGGGGUUAGACAGGGAGAUCCUGUGUCGCCGUUCCUCUUUAACAUUGCAGUCAAGUGCGUGUGUAAAAUGGUGCUACAGACCCAGAAAAAAAACCUAAUUGUUGGGCUUGCACCGGAUCUUAUUGAAAAUGGAGUAGUUAUUCUGCAAUAUGCAGAUGACAUGGUCUUGUACAUAGAUCACGACCUGGAUAAGACAGUGAACAUGAAACUGUUACUAUAUGUCUUCGAGCUCAUGUCCGGGCUCAAAAUCAAUUUUCAAAAAAGUGAAAUCCUGUGUGUGGAGGGAGAUGAUGAUAUUCUUAAAGCUUAUGUUGAUAUCUUUGACUGUCAAAUAGGGCAUUUUCCCAUGAAGUAUCUGGGGGUGCCAGUGACUUUUUCCUCCUUGCGAGCAGCAGAUUGGGACUUUUUGGAGUCCAGAUACAUUAAAAAAUGUGAUUCUGGACUGGGGGCAAUGCCUCCUCCAGAGGUCGCCUGA
rnacentral:rRNA from 1 species